AGCCUCUCUAUACACAUGAGAAA
rnacentral:snRNA from 1 species